rnacentral:rRNA from 1 species
GAAUAUUGGACAAUGGGUGAGAGCCUGAUCCAGCCAUGCCGCGUGCAGGAAGAAGGCGUUAUGCGUUGUAAACUGCUUUUGCCAGGGGAUAAAAUAACUGUGCGCAGUUGAUUGAAGGUACCUGGUGAAUAAGCCACGGCUAACUACGUGCCAGCAGCCGCGGUAAUACGUAGGUGGCAAGCGUUGUCCGGAUUUAUUGGGUUUAAAGGGUGCGUAGGUGGCUGUCUAAGUCAGUGGUGAAAUAUCUCAGCUUAACUGAGAGGGUGCCAUUGAUACUGGAUAGCUUGAGUACAGAUGAGGUAGGCGGAAUUGACGGUGUAGCGGUGAAAUGCAUAGAUAUCGUCAAGAACACCGAUAGCGAAGGCAGCUUACCAAGCUGUAACUGACACUGAGGCACGAAAGUGUGGGGAUCAAACAGG